rnacentral:rRNA from 1 species
CCUACGGGUGGCAGCAGUGGGGAAUUUUGCGCAAUGGGGGCAACCCUGACGCAGCAACGCCGCGUGCGGGACGAAGGCGUCCGCGUCGUAAACCGCUUUCAGCGGGGAACACUUAAACGAGGGUACCCGCAGAAGAAGCCCCGGCUAAAUACGUGCCAGCAGCCGCGGUAAUACGUAUGGGGCGAGCGUUAUCCGGAUUCAUUGGGCGUAAAGCGCGCGUAGGCGGAGCGCUAAGCGGGACCUCUAACCCGAGGGCUCAACCCCCGGCCGGGUCCCGAACUGGCGCUCUCGAGUGCGGUAGGGGAGAGCGGAAUUCCCGGUGUAGCGGUGGAAUGCGCAGAUAUCGGGAAGAACACCGACGGCGAAGGCAGCUCUCUGGGCCGAAACUGACGCUGAGGCGCGAAAGCUGGGGGAGCGAACAGGAUUAGAUACCCUAGUAG